CGCCGGCGCCUAUUCUGUUACUCUCGCGCCCGAGCCCGUUCCUGUUUCCCCAAAAAAGAGACAUCUCCGGUGUGGCCGCUCCGCCUCCACCUCCUCUCCCUGGCUUCGGCCGUCGCCUUGCGCCCCACCUUCUCCCCUGGCUCCGGCCGCCGCGCCGAGCCCCACCGUCUCCCCUGGCUCCGGUCGCCGCCUCGUGCCCCACCUUCUCCCCUAGAUCCGGCCGUGGCCCGGCGCCCCACCUUCUCCCUGGCUCCGGCCGCCGCCCCGUGCCCCACCUUCUACCCCCGGCUCCGACCGUCCCCCAUGCCUCACCUUCUCCCUCGGCUCCGGCCGUCGCCCCACGCCCCACCUUCUCCCUCGGCUCCGGUCGCCGCCUAAUCCCUCACCAUCUCGUGCCCCUGGCCGCGCCCCAUCCACCAUCCCCAUCGCCGGCCGCCCCCAUCUGCAGCGCGCCUGCCGCCCCCAUCCCCAGCGCACCAACCCCCAGGUCGCCACCUGCCUCAUCGCGACGCCGCCCACUGCCCUUCCUCCUGGCUUCUCGCAGCCAUGUCGAGCGCCUCCUCCCUGCUCCAAGCUCGCUGCAGACUACACAGAGCCGCCAGCCCCCGCCGCCUCCCGUGCUAGUACAACGCCGCCCCUGUACAAGGUUCAAAGAACUUACAGUGAGAAGGAAGGGAGAUGCUAAGGUCCGGCAGCUUCCUCGUUGCCAUCCUGGUACAGUGCCCCUCAAGACGACCUCUGGUUCGGCCUUUCGUCAACGGAGAAAAGAAGACUGAUGUGGUGCUCCUAUUGGCUGUACUCUGGAGAAGAGUUAACAGAAAGUUGCAGCAAAGAACAAAAAAGAAGAAAAAAAUAUAGGGUUGCAAUUUAAGGAAGUUGGGAAUUAAAAGUUCAAAUUGUGCUAAUUGUCGCCGAGCCUCGGGUCUAUUCAUUCCUAAGCUAUGUCUUCAGUCAGCAGCGGAGAUGCCUGCGGGUACAUCGAUAGGAGCAGGAGACCCAUCAAACUUUGUUAACGGGCAGAUAGGAACAACAAGUUAGGUCCGUGCAUAUCAUCAUUCUGAGAGUCUGACAGAUUUGUGUUGAUUGAAUCCACGGUGGCAGUAGAACAUUAAGUACCAUGGAGUUUUCAUUGUGAGCAGGAUGCAUCGAAUACAACAGAUGAAGUGAAGCGACCUCCCCGGAGAGAAACCGAUCGCUGUGCAGCGACGCAUCUUGCCGUCGUCGUCGCUUGCGUAGUUCUCUGAAUGGAUGGAUGGAUGGGUACAGUUCUCUGAAUGUGAAGUCGAUUGUUGCUCAGCUUCCUCGCAAUUUACUCAGUCUCGUUUUGCUCCAAAGCGUGCUUCAGUUCAACAAAAAGCUCCAGAAAAGUUCAGAGUUCACAGGAGUCACUUCAGGUUGGCUCUUUUUUAUUCGCCAGUUUGGGUAAAGCAGGGAGAGGUGGAGUUCAACUAUACAGAAAGGUGAUGGUUUCGACUGGGGCUUCCGUGACGAUCCGCUGUUGUUCUGAUCUCUAGUUUCUAUGAACUGAUGGGUAAGAUUCUCUCUCUCAUGCUCUCUCUCCCUCUCUCUCUCUCUCUCUCUCUCUCUCUCUCUCUCCUCAUCCUUUGUAGUUUGUGUGAACUGAUAGUUUAGACUCGAUGAAAUCCGCUGUUUGUAGUUUGUGUGUACUGAUAGUUGAAACUAUGAAUUCCAUGCUUUGUAGUUUGUAUGAACUAAUAGUUAAGACUCGAUGAACUCCAUGCUUUGUAGUUUGUGUGAACUGAUAGUUGAGACCUCAAGAGUUGUCCAUCUCGACUCGGUGAACUCAUAGCUGAUAGUUUUGUGAAGUGAAAAUUCUUCUUCAAGUUCUUGUGGUAUUUAAUACUUUGUAAGCUGAUAGCUGAUACUUUGAGAUGGAUGUAUUAUUAGGCUGUGAAAAUGAUGUCAAAUAUGUGCAGUUUAAUGGAUGAGUGUUAUCUAGAUCCUUUUAAUCUGAAGGUAGUAUUUUCUAUAGACAAGAAAUGGGCAUUUGGCUCAGUAAUCGUCCAUUACUAGAGGUAUUGUCAGUUGACCAUUUUCCAGAACUAGUUUCAAUUCGUGGACUACCGGCACUUGCAAAAUCCAAGAGGCUGACCAUAUCAAAGUGCCCAAAGUUGAAGCAAAGGAGAUGAGAUGCCACAAAAAAGGAUGCAUAAAAAAAAUCAAAGGUAGCAGCUCAAAAAGAUGAAUAUUGGAAGCCCAUUGCCAGGCUGCGGAUGCGUAUGACUUGAAUCGGUAGCAGGCCUGUAACCGAAUCAUUCCGCACCACUUUUCUGUCUGUGUGGCUUGAUGUGCAGCCCGCCGGCUCAGUCGUGUACGUCCAGACAAGACACUAUGGUGCAAUUUAAUGCAUGAAUUGCAGUAUGUGUUUGAGAGUGGAUGAACCCAUACCUGAAGGCUCUGGGCUCCAACUACAGCAACGGUGUCAAAUUCGCCAUGGCUGGCUCAACGGUGUCCCGCGGCGUCUCCCAAUUCCCUGAACAUCCAGGUCGAUCCGUUCGUCUACUACAAGCGCAGAUCCCUAGAGCUCUAAAGUUCCGUAUCAGGGUAUUUUUUCAUCGGUUCUAAAAUUCCCAGAGCAUCAGUCCAACGACGUAUCGGGGUAUACUGUGUUGCUCCUGCGAAUUUUUGUAUGCUUGUAUGUAAAAAAAUGGUACAGUUACUGCUUUGAUGUGUCGUGGUGUUAAUGUUGUUGAUGUUCAAAGUUUGUGCAGAGAAAGACUUCAAAAACUCGUGUCGCCGAUGGAAUGAAUUACUAGAAGUUCAAAUUUGCUAA